CCUACGGGGGGCAGCAGUAGGGAAUAUUGCUCAAUGGGGGAAACUCUGAAGCAGCAACGUCGCGUGGAGGAUGAAGGUUUUCGGAUUGUAAACUUCUUUUGUUAGAGAAGAUAAUGACGGUAUCUAACGAAUAAGCACCGGCUAACUCCGUGCCAGCAGCCGCGGUAAUACGUAGGGUGCAAGCGUUACUCGGAAUCACUGGGCGUAAAGAGCGCGUAGGCGGGAUAGCAAGUCAGAUGUGAAAUCAUAUGGCUUAACCAUAGAACUGCAUUUGACACUGUUAUUCGAGAGUAUAGGAGGGGUAGGUGGAAUUCUUGGUGUAGGGGUAAAAUGCGUAGAGAUCAAGAGGAAUACUCAUCGCGAAGGCGACCUGCUAGAACAUAACUGACGCUGAUGCGCGAAAGCGUGGGGAGCAAACAGGAUUAGAUACCCGAGUAGUC
rnacentral:rRNA from 1 species